UAUUUUAUAGUUUAAAUUAAAAUAUUAAAUUGCAAAUUUAAAGUAAUUUUAAAAAAAAAUUAAAAUAU
rnacentral:tRNA from 1 species